UGGGGAAUAUUGCGCAAUGGGCGAAAGCCUGACGCAGCGACGCCGCGUGAGGGAUGAAGGUUUUCGGAUCGUAAACCUCUGUCAGAAGGGAAGAAACUGUGCCGCUCUAAUCAACGGCGCACUGACGGUACCUUCAAAGGAAGCACCGGCUAACUCCGUGCCAGCAGCCGCGGUAAUACGGAGGGUGCAAGCAUUAAUCGGAAUUACUGGGCGUAAAGCGCACGUAGGCUGUUGUGUAAGUCAGGGGUGAAAUCCCACGGCUCAACCGUGGAACUGCCUUUGAUACUGCGCGACUUGAAUCCGGGAGAGGGUGGCGGAAUUCCAGGUGUAGGAGUGAAAUCCGUAGAUAUCUGGAGGAACAUCAGUGGCGAAGGCGGCCACCUGGACCGGUAUUGACGCUGAGGUGCGAAAGCGUGGGGAGCAAACAG
rnacentral:rRNA from 1 species